CCUACGGGAGGCAGCAGUGGGGAAUAUUGGACAAUGGGCGCAAGCCUGAUCCAGCCAUGCCGCGUGAGUGAUGACGGCCCUAGGGUUGUAAAGCUCUUUCGCCAGGGAUGAUAAUGACAGUACCUGGUAAAGAAGCCCCGGCUAACUUCGUGCCAGCAGCCGCGGUAAUAC
rnacentral:rRNA from 1 species